CAAGUGUCUUUUAUUUACGUUGGUAGUCUUUUUCUAUGUACAUUUCAUCAUAACACAAAGGGUUGUGAACGGCAACAGUACAGGUACACCUGAUCAGCUCACGCUCGUUCACCUGACACCUGACCUCUGACUAGACUGAAUGAUCAACACAUGGGGUGAAUCUCAAAAGUACUUUGUUGUUUUCUCUGUCUAACCCCGGCCAGUGUUGACAGACCUCCUCAGUAGUGUGUCGACAGACUUCCCCAGUAGUGUGACAGACCUCCCCAGUAGUGUGUCGACAGACCUCGUCAGAAUUGUCGUCAGACCUCGUCAGUAGCGCGUCGACAGACCUCAUCAGUAUUACCUCGUCAGUAGCGCGUCGACAGACCUCGUCAGUAGCGCGUCGACAGACCUCGUCAGUAGCGCGUCGACAGACCUCGUCAGUAGCGCGUCGACAGACCUCCUCAGUAGUAUGUCACCAGUCACAUUUAGUUAUGGUUUCUAAAGCGUUUUUUUUCUUCUCAUUUAUUAUUCCAGUGUUUUUCAUGAAACACUGAUUCUCUGGAAAAAAAAACAUUCCUUUCAUUCGAAAGAAACAACCGGUGACCCACUUGAUCUCUAAAACCUAGAUAUGUAAUUAGAAAAUGUCAGUGUGUUUAGUCUGUCUUUAUGGCACACUGAGCUCCUGAAGAACUGAGCACUGAAGUGGCUAGACAUCUUGUCAUUGUUAGGAUCAUUCCAGACAGAGAAGGGCCAUUGAAGCACCUAACAAGGGAAACAUGUCAAAGUGCUAAUUCACCAUGCAGGUUGACUUUUCAAGGUUGACUCCGCAAAAUGACGUAGUCACGAUCAGCAGUUGAACAAAAAAAUUGCAAAGCUCCAAUUCGCUCUAAACACUUGUCAGACAGAAUCUGUUCAAUGGUUUGCUUCAUACAUUAUAACAACGUGUUAGCCACGGGACCAAAACGUCCUGAGAAGUUGAGACUCGCACUUCAAGGUUCUUAGUUGUUGUGGAAAUUGGACUCGUUGUUUACUUUCUGCAUCUACGUCAUAUCGCUGAGUCUACCUGUUUAAGUGUAGAAGGAAAGGAUGCGUGCUUGGCAUUGAGUUAGUUAGUAUACAAGAAGGCUGUGCCCAGUCACUCCCGUCUCACUGUGUAGAUUAGAUUGUCCACGGAGAACAUACCAGGCUGCUGUGACAUCGUGUUGUGGUUUGUAACAAACUGUAUGUACCCUUCAGCUUUCUGUAGGGACAAAUAGUGACAUCGGCUGAAUAUGGCCGUCAUAGAAGAAUUGCUUCAUGUUAUGAUGGUUGUUUAAACAUUCCCAUCCUGUCUAGCAGAGAGAGAGAGUCUCGUAGGUGCAUGGCAAUCCCCCAAAGUGGCUGCAUACGGAGGAGAGAAUAGCCGGUCUAUAUUUGGGGAGCGGGGAGAGGACGGUGUCCUGCUGGAGUAGCUUCUCUUAAUGGAAUGAGUCAUCGCUGCCACGCAGGCAGCAGGGUCUAGCCCUUUCUUACCCUCUCUGCACCCCUCUCACCCUCUACACCCCUCUCACCCUCUCUACACCCCUCUCACCCUCUACACCCCUCUCUCCCUCUCUACACCCCUCUCACCCUCUACACCCCUCUCACCCUCUACACCCC
ensembl:lncRNA